UACGUAGGCAGCAAGCGUUGUUCGGAAUUACUGGGCGUAAAGAGUGUGUAGGUGGUGUUCUAAGUUUGUCGUGAAAUCUCCCGGCUUAACUGGGAGGGUGCGGCGAAAACUAGAAUGCUUGAGGAUGGGAGAGGAAAGCGGAAUUCCUGGUGUAGCGGUGAAAUGCGUAGAUAUCAGGAGGAACACCCGUGGUGUAGACAGCUUUCUGGACCAUUUCUGACACUGAGACACGAAAGCGUGGGUAGCAAACAGG
rnacentral:rRNA from 1 species